rnacentral:rRNA from 1 species
UUGAUGGAGAGUUUGAUCCUGGCUCAGAGUGAACGCUGGCGGCGUGGAUUAGACAUGCAAGUCGUGCGGUCCGCCAUAGCAAUAUGGUGGAUAGCGGCAAACGGGUGAGUAACACGUAAGUAACCUGCCCUCUAAACCGGGACAACCUUGUGAAAACGAGGCUAAUACCGGAUGUGUCUCGAGAGACCUAAGUCUGUGGAGACAAAGAUGGCUUAACUUUGAGCAAUCGGAGUGCUAUCGUUAGAGGAGGGGCUUGCGUCCUAUCAGCUAGUUGGUAGGGUAAUGGCCUACCAAGGCGAUGACGGGUAGCUGGACUGAGAGGUCGGUCAGCCACGCGGGGACUGAGACACGGCCCCGACUCCUACGGGAGGCAGCAGUCGAGGAUCUUGCGCAAUGGGCGAAAGCCUGACGCAGCGACGCCGCGUGCGCGAUGAAGUCCUUCGGGAUGUAAAGCGCUGUUAGUCCGGAAUAACUCUUGGACCGUAAAUAACUGUCCAAGAUUGACUGUACGGACAGAGAAAGCCACGGCUAACUCCGUGCCAGCAGCCGCGGUAAUACGGAGGUGGCAAGCGUUACUCGGAUUCACUGGGUGUAAAGGGCAUGUAGGCGUUCUGUUAAGUUCCGGGUGAAAUCCUUCAGCUUAACUGAAGAACUGCCCGGAAAACUGGCAGAAUUGGGUUCGGGAGAGGGAAGUAGAAUUCCCGGUGUAGCGGUGAAAUGCGUAGAUAUCGGGAAGAAUACCCGUGGCGAAGGCGGCUUCCUAGACCGAAACCGACGCUGAAAUGCGAAAGCUAGGGGAGCGAACAGGAUUAGAUACCCUGGUAGUCCUAGCCGUAAACGAUGGGUACUAGGUAUCCUCGGUUAAACGGGGGUGCCGGAGCUAACGCGUUAAGUACCCCACCUGGGGACUACGGCCGCAAGGUUAAAACUCAAAGGAAUUGACGGGGGCCCGCACAAGCGGUGGAGCAUGUGGUUUAAUUCGAUGCUACACGAAGAACCUUACCAGGGCUUGACAUGCAGGAAGUAGGAACCUGAAAAGGGGACCACCCGUUAAGUCGGGAGCCUGCACAGGUGCUGCAUGGCUGUCGUCAGCUCGUGCUGUGAAGUGUUGGGUUAAGUCCCACAACGAGCGCAACCCUUGCCCUUAGUUGCCACCUUGCCAUUAUUUUAGUGGUAAGAGCACUCUAAGGGGACUGCCUUCUGUAAGAAGGAGGAAGGUGGGGAUGACGUCAAGUCCGUAUGGCCUGUAUGCCCUGGGCUACACACGUGCUACAAUGGGAAAGACAACGGGAAGCUAAGCCGCAAGGUGGAGCAAAUCCCUAAAAAAUUCCCUCAGUUCAGAUUGGAGUCUGCAAUUCGACUCCAUGAAGACGGAAUCGCUAGUAACGGCGGAUCAGCCAUGCCGCCGUGAAUACGUUCCCGGGCCUUGUACACACCGCCCGUCAAGUCACUUGAGUCAAAUGCACCUGAAGUCGCUGACCUAACUCCGAGUAAUCGGAGGUGGAGGUGCCCAAGGUGUGUUUGGCAAGAGGGACUAAGUCGUAACAAGGUAGUCCUAGCGGAAGCUGGGGCUGGAUCACCUCCUUU